rnacentral:rRNA from 1 species
CAAAAACAUGUCCUUUAGAGUUAAAUUUAAGGUCUAACCUGCCCACUGAUAUAUUAAAUGGCCGCAGUAUUUUAACUGUGCAAAGGUAGCAUAAUCAUUAGUCUUUUAAUUGAAGGCUUGUAUGAAUGGUUGGACAAGAUAUAUAUUGUUUCAUGUAAAUUUAUAGAAUUUUAUUUUUUAGUUAAAAAGCUGAAAUUUUAUUAAAAGACGAGAAGACCCUAUAGAUCUUUAUAAUUAUGAAAUUUUAUUUAUUAAGAAUAUUUUAGAUUUAAUUUAUAUAAUUAUUUUAUUGGGGUGAUAGUAAGAUUAACUUAACUCUUAUGUAAUUAAUACAUAAAUUAAUGACUAAUUGAUCCAAUAUUAUUGAUUAAUAAAAUAAGUUACCUUAGGGAUAACAGCGUAAUUUUUUUAGAGAGUUCAUAUCGAUAAAAAAGAUUGCGACCUCGAUGUUGGAUUAAGAGAUAAGUUUGGGCGCAGCUGUUCAAAUUUAAAGUCUGUUCGACUUUUCAAUUCUUACAUGAUCUGAGUUCAAACCGGA